UAAUGUAGACAGAAAAAGGAAGCCCCGCUGGAACAGGACUUCCCAUGUAGAGCCGUUAAAGACGGUGGCAUAACUUAAUACGAUUAAAUA
rfam:Lactobacillus concavus DSM 17758 NODE_57, whole genome shotgun sequence.